UUAGGGAAGCUCCUGAAUCUAAGCUGCCAAGAAAAGCCGCUAUUGCUUUGUAUGUACCCGUACCGUAAACCGACACAGGUAGAUGAGGAGAAAAUCCUAAGGCCGACGGGAGAAGCGUUGCUAAGGAACUCGGCAAAAUGACCCCGUAACUUCGGGAGAAGGGGUACCAAGAAAGUGGUCACAGAAAAUAGGCCCAAGCGACUGUUUAGCAAAAACACAGGUCUCUGCAAAACCGUAAGGUGAAGUAUAGGGGCUGACGCCUGCCCGGUGCUGGAAGGUUAAGGGGAGAGGUUAGAGCAAUCGAAGCCUUGAACUUAAGCCCCAGUAAACGGCGGCCGUAACAAUAACGGUCCUAAGGUAGCGAAAUUCCUUGUCGGGUAAGUUCCGACCCGCACGAAAGGCGUAACGAUUUGGGCACUGUCUCGGCAACGCGCCCGGUGAAGUUGUAGUACCAGUGAAGAUGCUGGUUACCCGCGAUAGGACGGAAAGACCCCGUGGAGCUUUACUCUAGCUUGAUAUUGGGAUUCGGUAUUACAUGUACAGGAUAGGAGGGAGACUGAGAAGUCAUGACGUCAGUUGUGAUGGAGUCACCGUUGGGAUACCUCCCUUGUAGUACUGGAUUUCUAACCUAGCACCGUAAUCCGGUGUGGGGACACUGUCAGGUGGGGAGUUUGACUGGGGCGGUCGCCUCCGAAAGUGUAUCGGAGGCGCUCAAAGGUCACCUCAGAAUGGUCGGAAACCAUUCGUAGAGCGUAAAGGCAGAAGGUGGCUUGACUGCGACACCGACGGGUGGAGCAGGUACGAAAGUAGGACUUAGUGAUCCGGCGGUAUGAAUGUGGAAUUGCCGUCGCUCAACGGAUAAAAGCUACCCCGGGGAUAACAGGCUUAUCACUCCCAAGAGUUCACAUCGACGGAGUGGUUUGGCACCUCGAUGUCGGCUCAUCGCAUCCUGGGGCUGUAUUAGGUCCCAAGGGUUGGGCUGUUCGCCCAUUAAAGCGGUACGCGAGCUGGGUUCAGAACGUCGUGAGACAGUUCGGUCCCUAUCCGUCGUGGGCGCAGGAUAUUUGAGUGGAGCUGUCCUUAGUACGAGAGGACCGGGAUGGACGAACCUCUGGUGUAUCUGUUGUCUUACCAAAGGCAUAGCAGAGUAGCCAUGUUUGGAAGGGAUAAACGCUGAAGGCAUCUAAGCGUGAAGCCCCCCACAAGAUAAGAUAUCCCAUCCGUAAGGAGGAAGACCCCUUGUAGGCGACAAGGUAGAUAGGUUGGAGGUGUAAGCACGGCAACGUGUUCAGCUGACCAAUACUAAUGGUCGAGGGUUUGACAU
rnacentral:rRNA from 1 species